rnacentral:snRNA from 1 species
AUCACUUCCUGGUCUUUUGGCUAAGAUCAAGUGUAAUCUGUUCUUAUCAGUUUAACAGAGGUGCUGAAUAAAAGUGGGAGAUAAAAAACAUCCUGAGUUCCUCUUUUAUUAUGACUUGGAACAGAAUACAUCUAUUUAAUACACUACGUAUGAAUGGCACCCAUUAAAGUCUUUGCUGUUAUUACCCUUAAAAUAUUAAAGAUGAGCCUUU